CUACGUGCCAGCAGCCGCGGUAAUACGGAAGGUCCAGGCGUUAUCCGGAUUUAUUGGGUUUAAAGGGAGCGUAGGCGGAUUAUUAAGUCAGUGGUGAAAGACGGUGGCUCAACCAUCGUUAGCCAUUGAAACUGGUAGUCUUGAGUGCAGACAGGGAUGCUGGAACUCGUGGUGUAGCGGUGAAAUGCUUAGAUAUCACGAUGAACUCCGAUCGCGAAGGCAGGUGUCCGGGCUGCAACUGACGCUGAGGCUCGAAAGUGUGGGUAUCAAACAGGAUUAGAUACCCUGGUAGUCCACACAGUAAACGAUGUAUACUCGCGGUUUGCGAUAUAAUGUAAGCCGCCAAGCGAAAGCAUUAAGUAUACCACCUGGGGAGUACGCCGGCAACGGUGAAACUCAAAGGAAUUGACGGGGGCCCGCACAAGCGGAGGAACAUGUGGUUUAAUUCGAUGAUACGCGAGGAACCUUACCCGGGCU
rnacentral:rRNA from 1 species